ensembl:lncRNA
GUGUCAUCUUGCCUUUUUAAACUGACAAAUGCUGCUAAUUGAAACUCCAACCAAUAUGAACGAUGAUAUUUUUAUGAUCCAUCUCAUUUUCAGAUCAGCUCAGCGGUUCUGACGAAUUAACCAUUUUCAUCAUCAUACUCCUGGUCAUUCUCACCAUCGUGCUGGUGACAGGUUUAGCAGUUUGGUAUAAAUAUCAUAAGAAGAAGAGUAAUACCACAGGCCCAGUUUACGAGGAAGUGGCGUUGAGGUCACGAGAUGAGAACAAAUAUGAGACGCUGCAGAAGGCGCAUGGUGCCCGUGGAGAAGCAGAGUACGACACCCUUUUCCCAGUAACAUCAGGCAGAGAGAAGAAGGAGGGUGAUUAUCAACAGCUGAAGAAAGAGGAAAUGAAGGACGGGACAUACUACACCCUGGGAAUGGAGGGGGCAGCAGGAGGAGGAAUGAUAUGAACCACUGAAGGGGGAGCAGGAAUGAAAGAGGGGGUAUACCACACUUUGGGAAUUUAGGGCACAGGUGGAGGAGAGAGAUGAUACGAAGCAAUAUGGGGGAGAGGACAAAGACAAAUAAUAUGAGAUAGUGACAGAAGGUCAGGGGAAGGACGAGAAGCAAAAGUGUGAGCCAUGUAAAUGAGAGUAAGAGGGUCUCAGUAGCCUUUAUGCUUAAGAAAAACAUUUCAAACCAUCAAAGUUAGGUGAUAUCUUGGACUCAGUCCUGAGGAUCAAAUUCUAUGAUUAGACAAAAUUGAAAUAUGCAGUUAGGUCCGUGUGGGAAAGUUAGGUAACUUGACUCUGGAUGAUUGAAAAUAUAUAUCUAGUGGCAAAUCUAUAUUAGCCUGUAAGGGAAAGCACACUUCUUUAGGUAAGAAACCUGAAUAGACGUUCUGAAAUUACCAACCUACUUACCAAACGUCAGUUAAUGCAAGAGCAGAAAUAGCAACAACCCAAUAAAGAAUAUUCUGUAUGUUGUAUGGUGCAGCAACGGACAAUUGCUGCCAUUUUUUAAUAAUGAUUAUAAUAAUAAUAUAAUAAUAAUAUAAUAAUGAUAAUAAUUUCAUUUUAAACAGAAUAUUCUUUAUAAUGUCGUCACACGUAACCAGAAGAGAAAAUGAAACAUUUUGUGACACCAACAUUCGAAAACAAAAUGUAUUGAAUGUGCAAAGUCAGUAAAACCUUGCAUUAGGUUAAGGUGUAAGACAAUCAAGUGGUAUUGAUCUGUUUGAGUAAUUGUUCAGCUUAGAUCUUGGCAGCUCAUUUUCGUAACAUUUAUUCUCAUAUUGCAUACUGAACCUUGCUCCCAUGAUUCAGCUCACUGAAACUAAAUAGUCAGUAUAUUUAAUGUCAGUGUUCAGUGAUGGGAAAAGGUGAGAAAAUUAUUCUCCAGCUAAAUGCAUUUUGCUUAUUUUCCCUUGUCAUAUAGUUUCAUUUGUAGAGAGAUGGAUAACCUCAUGAUCUUUAAUAUAUGUCAAAAACUAUUUGCUUUACAAGUAUCUUGUGUCAUUUCCGCAAAUUGAACAUUUGUAUACGGCAAUAUUCUAUUUUGCAUUUAAAUGUGAAUGUAGUUUGUAGUUUUUAAACAACAAUCUGCAAAAUCAAUAAAAUUCAACAAAUGCCAAUUAAAGUUGUUGUUUUUUUUAAAAGGUGAAUAGGUGGACAAAUGUUUUUUGGGAAUAGAAUAAAGU